rnacentral:rRNA from 1 species
UACGUAGGAGGCGAGCGUUGUCCGGAAUUACUGGGCGUAAAGCGCGCGUAGGCGGUCUGUCGCGUCGGCGGUGAAAUCCCACGGCUCACCCGUGGAACGGCUCGGUAUACUGGGCGUCUUGAGCCACCUAGGGGCUACCGGAACAAAUGGUGGAGCGGUGAAAUGCGUAGAUAUCAUUUGGAACGCCAACGGAGAAAUCAGGUAGCUGGGGGUGUGCUGACGCUGAGACACGAAAGCCAGGGGAGCGAACGGG